GGAGAAGGGGACAACAGAGGAUGAGAUGGCUGGAUGGCAUCACUGACUCUACGGACGUGAGUCUGAGUGAAUUCUGGGAGUUGGUGAUGGACAGGGAGGCCUGGCGUGCUGCGAUUCAUGGGGUCGCAAAGAGUUGGACAUGACUGAGCGACUGAACUGAACUGACACUUCACUUCCUGAACUGACACAUUUUACUGAACCCCAGAGCUCUUUGGUUUCUGAUAAGCUCUAGGUAACAAUAGCUACCUUGUAACAAUAGCUACUUUCAAACUCUUCUUAGCAGGAGAGUUCUGGGGAUGUUUUGUUCUUGGUUUCUGUUUUGAUUAUUAGUGUUGUUACUUUAUGUCUCACCAGUUCCUGGGGAGGGGUCUAGACUAGUACUUAGAAAGCCUGACUCUUUGUCUCCUUAGUUGGGUGAAUCAGUUAAUAUCACUGGAAUUUAGUUUCCUCAUCUGCAAAAUGGGAAUCAGAAUACCAGGCCUGUCUACUGUACAGGAUUUUUUUGAAGAUGAUUGUGUGUGGCAGCAACACACAAUAUCAUUAUUACUAUUGUAUUGUUCUUACUCCUGUUUCUACCAUACUGCUAAUAAUAACACAGUGAGAUAUUAUCCAUAAAACAUGCUCAUCAUUUUCAAUGGGUUUGUCAUGCUUUGUACAAGAUGAUAUUACAUUUUAUAUAUCUUAUAUUUUGUUGAGGAACCAGUUUUCACUUGAAUUUUUAUUUAUUAAUACUGGUAAAUAACUGCUGGGCUUCCCUGACAGUUCAGCAGGUAAAGAAUUUGCCUGCAGUACGGGAGACAUAGGAGACAUGGGUUUGAUCCCUGGGGUCAGGAAGAUCUCCUAGAGAAGGUGAUAGCAACCCACUCCAGUAUUCUUGCCUGGGAAAUUGCAUGGACAGAGGAGUCUAGUGGGCUAUAGUCCUUGGGGUCACAAAGAGUUGGAGACAACUAAGCACAACAGUAACAAAAAAUAAAUAACUAUAAAGCCUGAUUAGAUAACAAAAGGGAAAAUUGUAUUUAAAUUCAAGGAGCAAAGAGAAUCC
ensembl:lncRNA